UAGUGAUCCGGUGGUUCUGAAUGGAAGGGCCAUCGCUCAACGGAUAAAAGGUACUCCGGGGAUAACAGGCUGAUACCGCCCAAGAGUUCAUAUCGACGGCGGUGUUUGGCACCUCGAUGUCGGCUCAUCACAUCCUGGGGCUGAAGUAGGUCCCAAGGGUAUGGCUGUUCGCCAUUUAAAGUGGUACGCGAGCUGGGUUUAGAACGUCGUGAGACAGUUCGGUCCCUAUCUGCCGUGGGCGCUGGAGAAUUGAGGGGGGCUGCUCCUAGUACGAGAGGACCGGAGUGGACGCAUCACUGGUGUUCGGGUUGUCAUGCCAAUGGCACUGCCCGGUAGCUAAAUGCGGAAGAGAUAAGUGCUGAAAGCAUCUAAGCACGAAACUUGCCCCGAGAUGAGUUCUCCCUGAGACUUUAAGUCUCCUGAAGGAACGUUGAAGACGACGACGUUGAUAGGCCGGGUGUGUAAGCGCAGCGAUGCGUUGAGCUAACCGGUACUAAUGAACCGUGAGGCUUAACCUUACAACGCCGAAG
rnacentral:rRNA from 1 species